AGAGUUUGAUCCUGGCUCAGGACGAACGCUGGCGGCGCGCCUAACACAUGCAAGUCGAACGAGGCAAAGAGGAGUUUAGCUUCUCUGAGCGAGUGGCGAACGGGUGAGUAACGCGUGAGGAACCUGCCUCAAANAGGGGGACAACAGUUGGAAACGACUGCUAAUACCGCAUAAGCCCACGGGUCGGCAUCGACCAGAGGGAAAAGGAGCAAUCCGCUUUGAGAUGGCCUCGCGUCCGAUUAGCUAGUUGGUGAGGUAAUGGCCCACCAAGGCGACGAUCGGUAGCCGGACUGAGAGGUUGAACGGCCACAUUGGGACUGAGACACGGCCCAGACUCCUACGGGAGGCAGCA
rnacentral:rRNA from 1 species